rnacentral:lncRNA from 1 species
AUGAGCAGUUGCUUGUACCAUCAUGUAGAAAACCCAUGCUUAUUUUCAAAAUAUGAAGAAAAACAGGAUGAAUACUAUGCAGAAGGAGCAGAUUUGGAAAAGUGGGGAUUCCUUGAAAGCUUUUGUGCAGUCUUAACAUACAGCCAUCAACACUCAUUUCACCCACUGGUAGUUCUGCUUCUAUUUCCAAGGAAUGACCUGGAAGUCACAAAAGGAGAGUGUCAGAGACACUGUCAUCCUUGAUGUAGCAAGGAAGGAGGUGCAAGAUAUCAAGGUCUACAAGAAACACUCUCUUGCUGACCAAGACCUCGCUACCAAUUAACAUCAGAUACGAGGCAUCAGUUUGUGAGGUGACCACUCUUCCGAAAGGAAGACGCUCCUCUAGAAAAGAGCACUUCGGCAGCACUGAAGUAGCCAGUUCCUAGCUUUCUUCCCAGCUCCCUGACUUCUAAAGCAACCUGCCAUGGCAACCUCUUGGGCAAAACUUCAAGAGGGUUGCUCAAAAAGGCAUUCAGUUGUUGAGCUGCCAAUCUGGUGAGAGGUUUUUGUUUGUUUGUUUGUUGCUGUUAAAAUCAUUUUGGAAUACAUUAAUCAUUGUUACUGUCACAAACUUUGGAAAUGUAAUCACUGUCAUUUCUGUAAAUAAUACAGCAAACAUAAUUCACAAAACAAGAAAUUAGAUGCUGUAUUUUUCUCUGGAUAGUUUCAGAUGUUCAGAGUACACUUUCUACUACUUUUCAGUUACAGAAGUUAAAACAUGAAACUACACCCAUUUGUGUGAGACAUUUUUUACACUGUCAUGAUGGUAAAAAGGGGGAUUUCUCAGGCAAAGUAAAGUUACUUACAAAAGAAUAAAACUGCAAGCCACUUUUUUCAACACAGAAAAAUGAGUCCUGGUAAAUAAAUUACAAGGUAAACCUUCUCUCUGUAUAGCGGAAGUAUUUCAAUGAAGUCCCUGUACCACACCACAAAUGUAAAAGGAACAAAUGUGCUUUUGGUAUGCUUCCUAUAGUACUCUAGAAGGGGAAAAAGAGGUAAAGGAAAUCAGCAUAGGUCUAUUUACAAUCUUUCCCUAAAGAAUAAAAUUAAGUACAGCUAAAGUGUCCUGCAGACUAAUGAUCCCAUUU